AAAACCGCCCUUCGCAUCUACUAUGAAAGGGACAAACGCAGAAGGUUCCCAUUGUGACAUCACAGAAAGCUCUGUGCUUUAUAAAUCUGCCACUGCAGCACCAUUGCAGUCGAGCCACUCUUUUUGGUCCAAAAUGCAUGUGGGGCUCUCUGAAGAUUUGAAAUUGGUAUGAAAAAGGUUCCCCACACUUGCUCUCUACAAUGACAAAAGACGACGCCCAGAGGUCCACCCUGUGAAUUGCGAGGAGGGGACGGGAGAGAUUUUUGGAGUAACCUUCAUCCUCAUCCUCAUCAUCAUGCCAUGCAAGUCUGCCGGUGCAAAAACGUGUUACCUGGAUGGGCCUGAAUCCUCCCUUGAGAGCAGGAAAGAGAGAAAAGCCAAUUGCACUGGUGCAGGUGUGUAUCUCUCAUCAACUGCUGUAUUUCUCUAACAUCGUGCUGACAUUGACAGGGUUUGGGAAGAAGCGAGAGCCCCCUGAAAAACUCGAGACAAGAAUGGGGAAAACGUAAACUCCACACGUGAAGGCUGAAUUUGAAUCCAUAACUUCAAAACAGUGUUAAUCAAUGGUCCUCAGGCUGGUAGUACGGCAGCCACCCCAGUCUGCGUGGAGAAGAUUCGGUCAUCCAGUGACUGCUGAACCCGAGGAAUUCUGCAAAGGCAAGGUGGCGGUGAUCGAAGUCAGGCUGUUGCUGUUGGGAUUCUGCACGAACCUACCGGGACGGGCGCCGAGGUGCGCCACUUUCCCAGCGGAGACCAGCUGCGAUGCUUCAUUUCAUAAAAUGGAUUCUCGUGCCAUUUUCACUGACAUUGCUGGAUAUCAAUAUAAUGCCAUAAAUCUCUUCCACUCAG